GGCUCAGAUGAACGCUAGCGGCAGGCCUAACACAUGCAAGUCGAGGGGUAACAUAAAAAAGCUUGCUUUUUUGAUGACGACCGGCGCACGGGUGCGGAACGCGUAUGGAACCUGCCCCUGUCAGGGGAAUAGCCCAGGGAAACUUGGAUUAAUGCCCCAUGGUAUCGUUUUAUCGCAUGAUAGGACGAUUAAAGAUUUAUCGGACAGGGAUGGCCAUGCGUACCAUUAGUUAGUUGGUGAGGUAACGGCUUACCAAGGCAGCGAUGGUUAGGGGCCCUGAGAGGGGGAUCCCCCACACUGGUACUGAGACACGGACCAGACUCCUACGGGAGGCAGCAGUGAGGAAUAUUGGACAAUGGGCGGGAGCCUGAUCCAGCCAUGCCGCGUGCAGGAUGACGGCCCUAUGGGUUGUAAACUGCUUUUAUACGGGAAGAAACGCACCUACGUGUAGGUGUCUGACGGUACCGUAAGAAUAAGGACCGGCUAACUCCGUGCCAGCAGCCGCGGUAAUACGGAGGGUCCGAGCGUUAUCCGGAAUCAUUGGGUUUAAAGGGUCCGUAGGCGGGCCUGUAAGUCAGGGGUGAAAGUUUGUGGCUCAACCAUAAAAUUGCCUUUGAUACUGCAGGUCUUGAGUCAUGGUGGGGUUGCCGGAACAUGUGGUGUAGCGGUGAAAUGCAUAGAUAUCACAUAGAACACCGAUCGCGAAGGCAGGUGACCAACCAUGUACUGACGCUGAUGGACGAAAGCGUGGGUAGCGAAC
rnacentral:rRNA from 1 species